GUGCCUGCUGGAGGUGGCUCUGGAGGGCGGCUACGUGCACAGCAGGAGGACAGGAUGGAAACCUGAUCGGGAGGAUAAGGAGAAGGUGCUCGGUGCCGCCGCAGGAUUGCAUGCGAGAGCCCAGUGUUGUCUGGAGGGAGGACAGACGAGAUACCAUCGUCUACUCCUGUUAUUACACCCCAGGUUCAUCAAGGGCUGAAGACAAAGAGCCAGUUAAUUAUUUAUGACAUAUGCAUAAAGGGGAAGGCAGGAACACGCAAAGGGCUAUUUCAUCAUUUUUUCAGCCUAGCGAGGCUGCUUAGUUUGUAUGAACCAGCACUUCUUUUCAGUCUCAUUUUGAGAUUUGCCAACAAACUCUGCCCCUCUGGCAUCAGUCAGCCCUGUGGCAAAUUCAAUUUCUGCUCCGCUCUCUUUAUGGGCUUCUCCAAACCCGGGGUUUAUUUUGCCUGCCUGCUUCAGCUUGUCUCGGCCCUGACCUGCGAGGUCUCUGGGGAAGGGCUCGGUGUGUGUAACGGGCCAACCUCUUUCACGUGGCACAGCUUUCCCUUUGGAAGAAGCUGAUUCAUGGAAAUGCUAUGUACAAUGGUCUCAGCUUUGCUUAUAUUUCCAGUUAACAUACUGGUCAAAGUGCCUCAUUCUGCCACAUCCAAAGUGUUUCCUCAGGCCUGGCACUGCAGUGUGGUGCACUGGGCCUACCUGGCAGCCACCGUGUUGUGUGUGAGAUUAUUUCUGGGAAUGGUUCGGGUGGGCACAUGAGAGGAAACUGAACGUGUCCCCUCAGCAGUUUCCUUUUAGCGUGGAGCUGCCAGAAGUGCUGGAGCCAGCUCUGGCCUGGCCUUGGCACCCAUGGGCACUGCAGGAGGGACUCGAGGCUGAGCCACUGUGGUGGGAGAGGUGACCCCUCCACCAGGACAGCUGGUGGUCUGCAAACAGCACUCACCAGUCUUCACCUCUCCACAAUUUUGCUGGAUUUUUACCUGGUAUUCCAAGCAAAGAGAACCAGAAGCAAAGUAGCUAGAGACGCAAAG